CGCAACACCCCUCGUGUACCUCUUUACCUCAUUCACCUCCAAGCGCCGGUGCUAGGGUUUCUGGCCUGCCACUAUGCCCGUCCGCCGUCGUGCCACCGUCGCGGAUCUCCUUCCCGGCGGUACCUCCCGCUUCGCCGUUGUCUUCACGCUCCUCUCGGCCUACCGGCGCCAUGGCCGCCCUCCCUCCUAUUCGCAUGUUGUCGGCGAGGCUUCUCCUGUUCCUCUCCGAGAACCGCCGGUGCGGCUGCCCCAGUCUCCAUCUAUUCUCCACCCUUGCAUCCCUCCGCUCUCUAUCCCUCUACCACCCCAUCGCCAUCUCUGGCUCCUUGGUUCACUCAUAGACCACCCCAUCGCGAUCUCUGCCUCCUUGAUUCACUCAUAGAGUUCCAAAGGAGAGGCAACAGAAUGGAUCUGGCUAAGCUCCUCCUCACGUCGUGCACCUCAGCAAGUGCUCAUGCCGAUGUGUUCCUCUUGAGUGAAUUGUCAAUGAGUUUUUAAAGCUUGAAUCUCCCUUGGAUGAUUAACAUGUUUGGUUGCUGAAUUGAUUGGGAUUCAGGAAAAAUUACCAAACCUUGAAUCUUUUUUGAGUGAUUUUCAUUUGUUUCUUUAAGACAAUAUAUCCAGUUGUUUCUGAUUGUCUUGCAUACUCACAGUGGACCUAAGAUUUUAUUGAUUUGACUCAGGCAGUUUGGAAGGUGGAUUAGCUAGGGGAGCAACCAAUAUGAAACUGCAGACUUGAAGCACUUCAAGCGGACCAUGACUUCCUCAUUGUUGCAAAUUCACCUGUGGUGCCCUUGACAAGCAGUGAAACCAUAAUUGUUCUAGCCAUAUCCAUUGGCUGAGUUGUUCUAAUGUUUGUACCGGCAACCCAUUUGCCAAGAAUCACUUCUCUGUGUUUUUGUUGCUAUCACAGACCAGCCAAUUCCGGGAGACAACUAGAGGGCUCUUUGGAGUGAAACUGCUGAAGAUUUUGAUGCAUAUAAAAACAAGUUCUGGACUAAAGCCUUUCAGCAAGUUAAGGGUAUGAAGUUUGUAUUAACAUAGAUGAUCCAAAGACCGUCGCCCUGCAUCAUAGGUUGAUUAUUUUAUUUUAUUUUUUGCGAGGAAUCAUAGGUUGAUUUUGCCUUGGAUUAGCAUGUGGUGUUGCAUGUUUAUAUGCUCUGCGUGUUAAUCAGCUGUUGGCAAGGCAUAUAGGCUGCAAGGUUCUCCACGACCUAUUUAACUUGGAAGCAAGAGAGGACGGUGAUUUGAGCCCAGUGAAGUUGAGAUGGCUACUGUGCAAAUCUGUCAGACUGUAAGUCCACAUGUGACCAUGAUGAAUAUACAUAAACUUGCUCAAAUUUAAGUAGGUUUGACUUAUGACAAACCUAGAACUUCA